rnacentral:lncRNA from 1 species
GAGCGCAGUGAUACUGAACGACUAAAACAUGAGGUUGUCGCUAUGUCAAAGAAAUGGAAUAACAUUUAAGCUUAAAAAGAAAUCUUGAAGAUUUUCUUUCUGGGUGGAGCUCUUUGGCAGGUAUCUUUCCCCCCACUUGGGAAUCGCUGACAGGGCGACCAGCUCUAGAAAAUGAAAUCUCAUGAGGGAGAACUGGAGAGGGAGAUCUCUAAGGUUCAGGGCAUGGUGUGUGAGUUGCGGGCAGGGUUUUCUCGUGCACUGCUGGAGCUGAAUCAGAUUCAGCAGGGAGACACUGAGCUGCAGAGCCAGCUGGAGGACACAAGACAUGGCUGCAACAAGCGCUCCCUUCACCUAGAGAGUCUGGUGCUGUCCCUCAAGGUGAGAUCAGACACCUGUCUUGUAAAAUCUGUUCUAUGGGUGCUUCAAAAUCCUCAA